rnacentral:lncRNA from 1 species
CCGGGGUUGACUCUUUUCACUCAGCAUGAAUCCGUGGAGUUCAUCCAAGUCAUUGUGUGUAUUUACCAUUGGUUCCCUUUAUUGCAGAGAAGUAUCUCAUGAUGUUAUACACAACAGUUUCUUUAACCACUCACCUGUUGAAGAACACCAGGGCCGAUUCCAGUUUCUGGCUAACGUGAAUCAAGCUACUAUGGACAUUUCUGUACAGCUCUCAAGCACUGAUAGGCUGAUAGCUUCCAAUUUUCUUAAAACCCCACUGGCUUCUCUGCAUAUUAGCAGUCACACCUCGGCACUCCAGAAUCUCUCUCAGCACCGUGGCGAGGUCAAUUCAACAAAUGUUUAUUGACUACUUACUAUAUGAGGCUAUUUCCAGGGUGUCUUACUGUCCAACCAUGAAAUCAGAGCCACCCGUGUGUUUAAUCUUACAACACAAGAAUGCCAGGACAAGAUUCUCGUCUCCUCCAUGAGCUUCUGCUCCUCCUCUUGCCCCAGAUAUCUGCCCUUUGACCUUCUCAGGAACAGCAGCAGCUGCCUCCCAGCAACGUUAGCAGCUUCUUCAUCACCACCAUCUUUUACUGGAGGAGAGAUAAUAGUCACCAAGAUCAACUUUGGCUGAAUUUUAAAAAUAACGAAAAAAAAUCAAAGUUCUCUUAGAUUUUCUGUCAAUUGCUUUAGAGAGCUACCAGAUUUAUUAAUGAUUAUAUUAAAGAAGAAAUGCUAUACAAACCUUUGUGCCAAUCACAUUUUUUUCCCAGAUACAGGAAAUGUCACUGUUGUGGGUCAGCCUUCUG